rnacentral:lncRNA from 1 species
CGGGCGCGCUGAGUGAGGGUGUUGCCUUUCUGUCAGCAGCGCAGGGCUUAAGCGUUCAGUGUGGUGUUAUAUGGUUCAUUAAUUACCAGUUGCUCCUUGAGGUAUUGUGCCACAACUCUGCUCUUCUGGGAUUUAUGGACUUUAGCCCGCGUUCAGCCGUGACGACGUAAACUUUGACUUUCUCACAGGCCGCUCUCCAGACAGACCAUUUCAGGCUGCUGCUGCAUCCCAACCGGCGCUUUUUUCCUGUUCUCUGGGAUCUCACAUGGAAUCUCUCGAGAACUCCCAGCCCACCGCGUUCCUCUGACCUCUCAGAAGGGGCUGUAAGCUCACAUAAGUCAUUCUUUAUCAUCUUCAGAAAGGUCUUGGAGCUGAGGGGAAGCCACAUCCACAUUCAAGGGAUGCUUUAAGCAACAGAUUCAACCUCUCGCUCAAAGCAGAGAUCUGAGGCAGAAUGAAAAUACUAUCAAGCUUUUCAUCCUUUCCGUGUUUAAACUAACUUGCCUCUAUACGAUGUAUGAUGCUGUCCAAGCGAGUCACCCCCAAGCUCUCUGAAGACAGGAUGCCAGCCAUGGGAUCAACAGUCAGAGUUGCCCCUGAGGGUGGUGGCACAGCACACUGUGUAAUUCCCCAGGGCCCACGUACCUGAGGAUUCAUGAAGACUGUCCAGAAUGAGCUAUGCGGGUAGAAGAGGAGGAAGACUUGGACUGGUUCUCACUGGAACCGCCUUUCCGUCUGUAGAGUAUCAAUGUGCACAGAUGUGUACCACCACACCUGCAGUGCUGAAUCCCGAAGGUGAAUGCAUACAGCCCCAGCCUUGAGACCAGCAGGGGAUUUUUACAGCAGCCCUCAUCCUUCUGAACAUAACCACUAGAUGGGGAAGCAGGCACUUCGUUUCACAGGAUCUCUUACUCAGAAAUUUCCCUUCUUUGCUAUUGACUGUGCUCACGUAAUGUCCCAAAUCACCGCAUUCUUGCCUCUCUCUCUGGCAUAUCUAAACACCUACCUCAGAGGCCCGCUAUGUAGCAUCAGACGGGGAUUUCAGCCUGCCAGGGCUUGCUAGUGCUGCAAGACCCCAAAAGAAAGACCCUGAAUCUGAAGGCACACAGUGCAUGGGUGGGCACGGAAAUGUUUGAGCAGAAGAGCUUUCAGAUACAUUUGCAAACAAACAUUACCUUUAGUCUCUUCUCUGUCUUCUAUACAGCUAUGAUGUUUUUAAAGAUUUCCUGGCAGUCUGCAACAUUUUUACCUGUAAUAGAAUCGAGACCUGUCUUGGCUUUAUGACCUACCUCUUUAAAAUGUCAUCAAAGCCAAUUAUUAAUUUAGAAACAAAAGCUACAAACAUACAUUGUAGUGUAUAUUAUGGGGGGAAUAAAAGCUUUGGGGUGUGAUGCUGAUGUGCCUGGUAAUCAGUGUUUGUUCUGAAUGACGAGGUUAUCAGCUGUGAUGAUUUUUACCACGACAAUUUUGUGCAUUUAGAAUGUUGUAGUGGAAAAUCUCUCAUUGUGUGAAUUCCAGGCUUCAUUCUAAGUGCCACCUUCCUGCAAUAAGAUCAUAGGAGGCGCUGCC